rnacentral:rRNA from 1 species
CCUACGGGAGGCAGCAGUGGGGAAUAUUGGGCAAUGGGCGCAAGCCUGACCCAGCAACGCCGCGUGAAGGAAGAAGGCCCUCGGGUUGUAAACUUCUUUUAUCAGGGACGAAACAAAUGACGGUACCUGAUGAAUAAGCCACGGCUAACUACGUGCCAGCAGCCGCGGUAAUACGUAGGUGGCAAGUGUUAUCCGGAUUUACUGGGUGUAAAGGGCGUGUAGGCGGGAGAGCAAGUCAGACGUGAAAUUCCAGGGCUCAACCCUGGAACUGCGUUUGAAACUGUUCUUCUUGAGUGAUGGAGAAGCAGGCGGAAUGCGGGGUGUAGCGGUGAAAUGCGUAGAUAUACGGAGGAACACCAGUGGCGAAGGCAGCCUGCUGGACAUUAACUGACGCUGAGGCGCGAAAGCGUGGGGAGCAAACAGGAUUAGAUACCCCAGUAGUC